CACGCGUCGGCCACGCAGAUGCCGGCGACAUUGUCACGCAGCCAUAAUAGCGCCUUUUUGCAUAGGAGGCUCCCGGCGAGCGCAUCGACGGCAGCCUGUGCGUGGCCGGUGCCGUAGCGCUCACACAAAAAGGCCACGGUCUGGUCGCCACCCCACCGCAGUGCCUCGACAAACACGGAUAGAUCGCACGUGUCGACGUACGCCGCGACAAGAGUCAUUGUCGUGGGGACCGGGGCGGUGGGGCCAUGGCCGGUGCGGGCAAUAUCCCCGGUCAAGGCCGCGCAGAGAGAGUUCCAGCGGUCAAACGGGGCAAUGCCUGCUUCGUGCAGGACCAAGGCUACGUCAAAGUGUCCACUCUCCAACGCCAGCCUGGCGGCGCCGACAGACAGGUUGUGUCGUGCGUCGGCCCUGCCCGCCAGCCAGCGUACAACGUUCUUGUGCCCUGCCGCGGCAGCAGCGUAGCCGAUCGCGAGCGUCGGCCAGCCGACCACCACAAUCGGCCGAUGCCCACCCGUGCCAUCAUUGUCAUUGCCGGGCUGAUCAUCCAUGCAUUGGGACAGCACGUCGAGGUGACCGGCGCGAGCGGCGGCGAUCAAAAACUCGACCGAAAGGGGGCCAAAGCCGAGAUUGCAAAGCAGGGCUGCACACGAGGCGUGGCCUCGCGACCCCAUGUCGACGAAGAUGCGCUGAAACUCGGUCGCAUAGCGGUGGCGAUGUUUGCAGAGACCAAAGGUAUCAUAAACCCAGCGAGCCACCUUGGCCGACCCUGUAUAUAGAGCACGCCAAAAGAGAUCGUUGGCAUCGCCGUCACUUGGGCUCGGUGGGUUACAACGACACCCGAGACCAUGCAGCCACGUGAUGACAUCGACUCGAUCGGCGUCCGCGGCCGCGAGACGCACUGUAUCAGAGCAUGUAAAACGGGUACUCGGGCAAUCGCCGUGGAUGCAGGCAAUAAUGUCAAAGGGGGUGCCGGACACAUGUAUGGCCUCGACCAAGAGAGACUCGACCAGGCGCGCGCUCGGACUGGGUGGAAGACCAAACACGGGGCGCUUCCAAUUGUCGAGGAGCCACACAAAGGCAUCGUGUUUCCCGCGGUUCAGGGACUCGUAGAGAGCGUCGACAAUGGGGCUGUCGUAUCCGAUAUCGGGUCGCACCCUCUUUUGGCCGGGUGCCAGGUUCGGGUCGUCUCUCUCGCGGCGCGCCCGCUUUGCCCCCGACGAGGAUGCCGGCGGAAAAGUGGCGACGUUACACACCCACUCGACCACAUCAAUCUGACCGCCGCGUGCCGCCGCGAUGACACAUUCACGCGGCACGUCGGUCAGGGCGCGGUCCUGUACCACGCGCUGGAUGACGCAAAGGGGGGCGCCGGCCUCUAAGAGACGCGGCCCCGUCACAUGGGCAAAGCGCGAUGCCGCAGCCUCCAAAACCGUCGUGUCGACAAGGGCAGAGCAGGUCGCCGCGCACGCGGCCAAGUCGCGUAGGCUCUCAAGGCAGCCCAGGAUGUGCGCGAUAAUUUCUGCAGGCAUGUCGGCCAGACUUGACGCUGCUGGUUGCCGGUCCGUCGUCAUUAUCGUCGUCAUCAUCGUCGCCAUUGCCACCGCUGUCCCCAAAUGUCUGGUGACGGUCGGCGCUCGUGCUCGGAAAAAAUUGUGCUUUUCGAUACAAAUACCACAGCCUUUGGGCGUGGGGUCUGGCCGGCGCUGGCUCUGGGCGCCAAUCCACCGCGAGGACACUGACCACCAGGAAUGGAUCAAAAAUGGGGGUUUGAAAACAGUCUUGAUGAAAAGGAUGAGAAUGCAAAAGGUGGGUCCUGAAGCCCGUGCAGGGCCGCGGCCUGCUUGCGUCCUCCUUUUUUUUUAAAAAAAUAAUUUGUCGGGCCUGUGCUUGAAUUAAAAAGAG
rnacentral:lncRNA from 1 species